GCGGCGGGGGCGCGCCGCAGUCCGAGCCUCAGACGCGCGGGCGCAGAGGGCAGCUCUGGGGCUGCCUGGCUGGGGCAGCCGGAGGCGACAGCUUGGUCAAGAACGAAGGACAUCUGCGCUCCAGGGUCCCGGGCAGUCGCGCCGGGGCUGAGCGGUGGGCGCGGGGCGAGAAGGAAUCUUUGUGAUCUUCUUCCUCAGCACUUUUUACCCCUGUUUGCUGAAGACCUUGACCAAAGCUGCUCUCGGCUGUUGGCAUCGUCCUGAGAAAAGGACGGCUUCAAAAAUCAGGGAAACAUUUGGGACGCUUCUAGCCCAGUGGAUCUUCUGAAGAGCAAUGCUAGAAAGACCUUUGGUUUAAAGAAUUAAAAGGAAGAACACCUUCAG